GAAAUGCGAUAAGUAGUGUGAAUUGCAGAAUUCAGUGAAUCAUCGAAUCUUUGAACGCACAUUGCGCCCUUUGGUAUUCCUUAGGGCAUGCCUGUUCGAGCGUCAUCUAAACCUUCAAGCCCUGCUUGGUGUUGGGUGCCUGUCCCGCCUCCGCGCGCGGACUCACCUCAAAUCCAUUGGCGGCUCCCGCGUCGGCCACGAGCGCAGCAGAAACGCGAACUCGUGAGCCCGUCCGGGCGGCUCCCAGAAGCUACACCCACCCAGUUUGACCUCGGAUCAGGUAGGGAUACCCGCUGAACUUAAGC
rnacentral:misc_RNA from 1 species